GGCGGUUUGGUCAGUCUGUUGUGAAACUGCUGUGCUCAACUCCGUAGUGCGUUGGAAACUGUCAAACUAGAGUACUGGAGAGGUAGGCGGAACUACAAGUGUAGAGGUGAAAUUCGUAGAUAUUUGUAGGAAUGCCGAUGGGGAAGCCAGCCUACUGGACAGAUACUGACGCUAAAGCGCGAAAGCGUGGGUAGCAAA
rnacentral:rRNA from 1 species